rnacentral:rRNA from 1 species
GAGUUUGAUCUUGGCUCAGAUUGAACGCUGGCGGCAUGCUUUACACAUGCAAGUCGAACGGGGUGCGGGGCAACCUCGCAUUCAGUGGCGAACGGGUGAGUAAUGCAUCGGAACGUGUCCGGGAGUGGGGGAUAACGCCGCGAAAGCGGCGCUAAUACCGCAUAUGCUCUACGGAGGAAAGGGGGGACCCGCGAGGGCCUCUCGCUUGCGGAGCGGCCGAUGUCCGAUUAGGUGGUUGGUGGGGUAAUGGCCUACCAAGCCGACGAUCGGUAGCUGGUCUGAGAGGAUGAUCAGCCACACUGGGACUGAGACACGGCCCAGACUCCUACGGGAGGCAGCAGUGGGGAAUUUUGGACAAUGGGGGCAACCCUGAUCCAGCCAUGCCGCGUGCGGGAA